GUCCUUGCCGCCAGGCUCUCCGCUGGCCGCCAGGGCAGGUCCUGGCCACGCACCUCGCACAUCUGGAAGCAGUUGUCUCCAGCUGCCGGGCGGGGCUCAGGCUGCGGUCAGGGCUGGCUGCCCGUGCUUUGGAGACCUCGGACCCUCAGACAUCCCCUCGGAGCAGGGAGGGGAGACUGGGAGAGGGAAGGGAACGGGAUACAGGGGGAGUCGGGGGCGAGGGCUGUCUUUUUGUUCUGAAGAACCUUUUGGCUUUUCCCAACACAUCAGAAAAUCUGGCCGGGAAACUGUUUUUCUUCUGGUCCCACCCAUGUCUAAAUCAGGCAAACCUGAGCACACAUCUGUUUUUGUUUCUAAAGGAAUCAAAGGGAGUCCAGGCCUGUACGGGGUCCUAAAAAUACAUGUUGAAAACUGCUCGUGUUCCACCCUCUCCCGUGAAAGUUUUGUUUCCAUGACUUAAAAAUUUCCAGCAAGUUGCCAUCUCUGCUCUGACCUUCGGCGGCAGUGGGCCUUGUUAAAUAGGCCGGAGUCUCCAAAAUCGCUGGGGGGCUGGGGUUGAAAUGGGUUGGUCUUUGGUCACAGGACAUGGUGGAACCGUCUAGUUCUGCGUCCUCAUCUUAUAGCUGGAGAAACCAGCCCAGAGAAAGUCCAACAGCCCGAAUGGUCCCUGAAAUGACACGAUGUGGGAGGGCCCCUGCCCACCCCCAGAGGACAGACCGGAAAGCAUCUUAUUUGCCACCAUGGAGCAUGUGUAGCCUGUGCAGAAUGUGGAGACUUUAUGAUGCUGCACUUACCUAUGGCCUCAAACCUUCACUGACCCACGCAUCUCCCCCUCCUCCCUGCCACUGGAAGGAAACCAUGGCAUCAGAACACAUUGGGACUGGCAGCUGCCUCCAGCACAAGGACUCAGAGUCGCAUCAUUGGAUUCCUGGACCCACUUGUGCCUGCUAUCAGCUUCCUGUUCCUGAGAAAUCAGGAGAGUGUGACCUCAUGGAAACCCAGUCAUCAGCAGGAGAAGAGACCGGCAGCAUCGGACGAGGGAGGCCGUCACAGAAUCAGGACCAAAGCUCGCUGGCCUUGGCGUUGAGAAGGUUUAUUGGUGGCCUCCUGUCUAAUUGAAUAUCAAGCUCAACUCGCCUAGGUUAUUAAGCCCCCUGAUGGUGGAGCCUGGACGCCAAGCUUUAGGAAGCUCCGCCCAGCAGCUCUGGAGACGCUGGUAGAGACGGUACUGGAGGAUGGGACACCAGCCCUGCAGCAUGGGGAUGAGCCUAGUGCCAGCGGCCAGAGGUGAGGGACAGAAGGGUUGAGCUGAGUCACAAAGAGGAAGCAGAUGUGGGGGGAUGGGCACAGCAUGUUCUCAAGUUUAGCCAGAACUCUCUGGUGGCAAGUGACAGAAACCCAGCACCAUCCAGUUUAAGGGUGAGAGAGGAUUUAUUGGACAGCACGGGAGUAGCCAUAUAUUUGGAGAAAGAGUUUCUCUCUGCACAUGUCUCCUCCCAUAGAUACACUUGUCGAGAAAGGCCCAGAGAGGGGAGAAGGAUGCCUCCUUGCACUUUGCACAAGGCCUCUCACGCUUUCUCUCUAGUCCUUGCCUUGGCCGGAAGCCCCACCUGCACAGCUUCUCCUCCAGCUCCAACUUUAAAAGUCUCAGCCUGAGACCCUAUUGGCUUGCAUCCCAUAAACAUCUCAGGUCAAUCCCUCUUCCAUGGACCUCAAGGUUUUUUUUUUUUUUCUUUUUGACAGUAUUUAUUUUUAUUUAAGGAAAAAUUUAUUGGAGCAUAGUUGACUAAAAAAGUUGUUUGAGUUUCAGGUGUAUAGCAAAGUAAAUCAGUUAAAUAUAUACACAUAUCUCUGUUAUAUAUAUAUAUAUAUAUACAUGUACAUACAUCUGUUCCUUUUCAGAUUUUUUUCCCAUGUAGGUUAUUAUAGAGUAUCGAGUAGAUUACCCUGUGCUCUAAGUAGGUCCUUGUUACCCAUCUAUUUUUUAUAUAGUAGUGUGGAUAUGUCAGUCCCAACUCUCUAAUUUGUCCCUCCUGCCCCCUAUUUCCCCUUUGGUAACCAUGAAUUUGGUUCCAAAAUCUUUGAGUUUGUUUCUGUUCUGUAAGUUCUUUUGUAUCAUUUUUUUGGGUUAGAUUCCACAUAUUAGUGAUCUCAUGAAAUUCGUCUUUCUCUGGUGAUUUACUUCGCUUAGUAUGAUAAUUUUUAUGUUCAUCCACGUUGCUGCAAAUGGUAUUAUGUCAUUCAUUUUUAUGGCUGAGUGAUAUUCAAAUGUAUACAUGGACCACAUCGUCUUUAUCCAGUCCUUCAUUGAUGGACAUUGAGGUUGCAUCCAUGUCUUGGCUAUUGUAAAUAGUGUUGCAGUGAACAUUGGGGUGCAUAUAUCUUUUGGAAUUACGGUUUUCUCUGGAUAGAUGCCCAGGCCUCAGUUUUCUGCUAUCUUAAAUGGGUAGAUGGGACUAACUGAUCUCUGAAGACUCAUGGGAUCCUACUGUUCUGUGGAAGAUGUGGCUUUUCAUUCUGUUUCCCUGGAACCUAGCACAAGGCACAGUGCAUUCCACGCAGUGGGUCUCCUCACGUGUGUGCGGAUGAAUGGAUCUGCUUCUUCCCCAACAUCUGCUAUAGCUCUGACCCACCGAGAACUGAAUUCCGUGGUAUUUCUCAGGAUCCUUGACUCCAGGGCCACGCCCAGGAUUGGGAAAGACAUGUUUAUGAUGCACACGAGGUUAGGGAGCUUUUUCUCCAAAGGCGCAGCAGCUUGGGAACAGCUGGCUGUGUUGGAUGGCCUGUUGAGAGCCUUCCUCUCUGUCUUGGCUCUGCCUUGCAAGAAGGGGGGAGGGCCGGGCGCUCAGAGAGCUGGUGAUGGAUGAGGUGAGGCCCCAGGAAGAGACUAACGGCUCCGGCCUGCGUGCUUCUGCCUGGGUCAAGGCGAAGGGCUCACAGGGACGUUCUGUGCGAACAGUAUUGCAGGCUGCCUGCGAGCUCCAGUCUCUGAUGCUGAAGGAAUCCAGAUGGGGUUGUCAGGUGGAGCUGAAGGGUUGGGGGGUGGGGCUGGAAAAAUGAGCCCCUCUCUGUCCUCUCAGCCCUACUUCUUCUCCAGGAGGCUGAGAAGGGCUGAUGUGAAAUUUUGCCAUCAGAGAGAGUAAUGGAUUUACGGUGUGGGCAUCUGAGGUUGAAUCCCAGUUGGCUCCCAUCAUAUGUGUGUCUUUGGACAAGUCAAUGAGCCUCUUUGAGCCUCACUUUUACCAUCAGUAAGCUGGACCUGAAGUAUAACCUACCUAACAAAGUUGGGUCUGAAUAGCAAUGGCACAAAUAUUGUUUAGGCUAAAUCCUGUCAUUUUUGAAUGAGCGCAUUGCUUUGUGAGGAGGUAAACUCUCUGGAGCUCAGUCAGGGUCCCACGACCGUGAGAGGGGGCAUCUGGGAUCAAGUGAGGGAAGUUUCUCCUCCCUGGGACACGUGUCAGUGAGCAGCCUUGUGUGCCCUCCCCCACCUUAUGGCUGGAGGGGGUGCUUUCAAAUUUUCUUUUGCUGGAGUAGAGUUGACUUACAGUGUUGUGUUAGUUGCAGGUGUACAGCAACGUGAAUCAGCUAUGCAUAUACAUAUAUCCGGGGAUGGGGGAGGGAGGGCUUUGUCUUUAGUUAACACAGUGAGCUACCUUGAUUUGGGGAAGGGCUCUUCCCUGCUCUGGUUCAUCCAUCUCUGGCUUCCCACUCCAGUCCUUCUCCCUCAACUCUCCAUCUUUGGCUCCCAUCUUUUCUCUCUGCUCAGUUUUCUUUCUGAUGUACCCGUGACCCCCAGGAGAUUCCCAGCUGUUUGUCUUAGAGUGGUUGAAGUGGAAGAUGUCUGCUUGCUGAAAUGCCAGGGUCUCCGUUAGCUUUGAACUUGACACGUGUGUACAUUCCUUGUCUGGUGGGAUUUCUCCCCUCAGCUGCUCCACAGCUCAGCGAGUCUCCCCAGGGUCCCGUUCACGUGCUUCUCUUCACCUUUGAGUCCCACUCGGUGCAGAAAGGAUGCUUCUCUGGUGAACUGUCCACACCAGCAUGGGCUCCUGACAUGAGUAAUCAAAGGCAUUGCACGGUCAAUCAAACCUAUCGAUCUUUCUAACUUAGCUGGCUCAUUUUAUGGAAAACACAUGACUAACCCAUCAAAAAGCAGAUGAUCCUCGCAGUGUAAAUUUUCAUCCGUGUAGAGGAAAAUUACAUUUUCUUUCCCUUUCCCCCCCCUGCUGCCUUCGCUGACAUGUGUCCUUCAUCCUGCAUCAGGGCAGCAGCUCUGUAAGAGGAAAAUGAGUGGAAAAGGAGGGAGGGACAGGUGAGCAGAGCAUUUAGACACUUUGCAAAAGAUAGACAGCAGUCCCUCACUUUGUUAAAAGCAGAGAAGAGGAGUGUCUUUAUACAAGGGAGGAACUCAAAUAAACAGCCACGGAAAUUGCA
rnacentral:lncRNA from 1 species